CGGCUGCAGCGCAUGCGCAGUAAGAGACUGAUUUGCUUGGAAAAAGCGAGGGAGCCAGAAGGAAAGAAGACGCAGGAGGAAAGAGGUAGAAAGGGAGCAACUAUCGAUGUCUGUCUACUAAGAAAUAUGUAUCCAAGUCCAGGUGUGAGGUUCCAGUGCAGCCAAUGCCAGACAGUUUCCCUCCAGGGAGGAGCCAGAAGAAGCUUCUGCAGCGACUGAGUGAAAGUAGCAGUUCCUCCUGAAGGUCAGAGAUUGCAGCAUCUGAGGGCCUCUUCAAAAGAAGACGUAGUUGAUGAAGGCGUUCUGGAGCAGGACCAGAAAGACCACGACCAAGCAGCCUUGAGAUCUUAGACAGCGUCUCCCUCAGGUCCCUCUCUAUCUCCCCACACAUCCACCAACCACUGGAACACAUCUCCAAAGUUCUGCGGG
ensembl:lncRNA